UGCAGUUGAGCGACGAACCAGGGCUUGCCCUGGGGCAUAGCAGCGAACGGGUGAGUAACACGUGGGUAACCUGCCCCGAUGACUGGGAUAACCCGAGGAAACUCGGGCUAAUACCGGAUGUGUCCUACCGGCUCAAGCCGGUAUGGCAAAGGAAGCUUCGGCCUCCGCUUCGGGAGGGGCCCGCGGCCCAUUAGCUUGUUGGUGAGGUAAAGGCUCACCAAGGCAACAAUGGGUAGCUGGUCUGAGAGGACGAUCAGCCACACUGGGACUGAGACACGGCCCAGACUCCUACGGGAGGCAGCAGUGGGGAAUCUCGCGCAAUGCGCGAAAGCGUGACGCAGCAACGCCGCGU
rnacentral:rRNA from 1 species